AGUGAACGCUGGCGGUAGGCCUAACACAUGCAAGUCGAACGGCAGCACAGUAAGAGCUUGCUCUUACGGGUGGCGAGUGGCGGACGGGUGAGGAAUACAUCGGAAUCUACUUUUUCGUGGGGGAUAACGUAGGGAAACUUACGCUAAUACCGCAUACGACCUACGGGUGAAAGCAGGGGAUCUUCGGACCUUGCGCGAUUGAAUGAGCCGAUGUCGGAUUAGCUAGUUGGCGGGGUAAAGGCCCACCAAGGCGACGAUCCGUAGCUGGUCUGAGAGGAUGAUCAGCCACACUGGAAGUGAGACACGGUCCAGACUCCUACGGGAGGCAGCAGUGGGGAAUAUUGGACAAUGGGGGCAAGCCUGAUCCAGCAAUACCGCGUGGGUGAAGAAGGCCUUCGGGUUGUAAAGCCAUUUUGUUGGGAAAGAAGAGCAGCAGGUUAAUACCCCGCUGUUAUGACGGUACCCAAAGAAUAAGCACCGGCUAACUUCGUG
rnacentral:rRNA from 1 species